CCGGACUGCUCGGGGUUAGGCUGGGCAUCGGUCAGCGAGUGCUGAAUUCUUUUGUAGUCCCAGUUCACCUAGACUUUUGGGAAAAGGUGCUGGACCUAUGACAAUGGAAGAAUGGAAGAAUGGACAACGGAAGAAUGACAGAAGAUAAAAAGGACAAUGUUUAGGGAGAAAAUGAUGUUCUGCAUGCUAAAGUCUGAAGAACUACACAGAUUCAUGGAGAAGCAUCAAAGCAUCAGAGAAACAUCAUUUUCACAUAUGCAUGAGUCUAUGAUAUAAUCACUCAAUGUUUGGAAGCCUUAGUCUGCUUACCUCUUUAUUUUUGAAACACAAAUCUUACCCUGGAUUAGUGGAUGAUAUUUUUGUUGUGGCUAACUGAAAAUCAUUAUGGACAAUUAAAAUUUUAUUUGAAGAUCUUGAGGCCUGAGUCUGCAUUUCCUGGUCCCCUUUUGUUAUCCUGAAUGACCAGAAGAAUAUUCCAUGCCAUAUAUGUGUGAGGAAACACAAGUUUUCACACUCAGAAAGGGGAGCUGAGGUAAAGAAGGAGGAAGGGGAGGACAUUCAGAAUGAUGGCAUUUGUCUUUGCAAGAAACCACUAGGCAUGAUGAGCCCUGCAUUUCUGAAAGUGACUGAACACCUGCCUGCAAGCUAUUUUUUAGGCCCUUUGUGGAUUUAAGGACUAAAUUGCUACUAUUGAAAAGCACAACAGAAAAUCUCUGAGAUGGGAUUCAUAAUUAAGUCUGAACAAAGUGUUUAACAUCAGUGCAAGAAAGAAUAUCUAUCACAAAUAGCUGAAGUCAUGCAAUGGCAGAAGGAAGGACCAGCUCGUCUCUUUGGAUCUUUUCCUAAUCUUACAUUUUUAUUAUCUUGUGCAAUAUUGUGGUGAGUUAGGGACCUUAGCUUUAUGAAGAUGUAACUGACUUUAUUUUUUUUUUGCUCAUUACCAACUUGUAUUGACUUAUUUUUGGACUCUAUUUUUUUACCUUUCUGUUUCUCAAGAUUCUCCAAAGAAAGCACAUUUUCACCGAUUAUAUUGCCCAUCUCUUCAAGAGAUCUAUUUCACUUCUAAAGAAACAUCAUUUCCUUUAAACGUCUGUCCCUAAUUUGGUAGAACACUUUCCAGCUGUUAUUUUGUUUAUUUUACAGCUCAGUGAUUUAACUUAAUUUGACUUGCUAUUCAGGUUGUUCCAAUGAACAAACUACUACUUUAAAUGUGAAAUCUAUCUCCUAUUUACCUUUUUUUUUCUUUUUUCUCAUGACACGUUCCAGAAUUCUGUAUGCAACUAAAAAAUAAAAAUAUAUAAAAAAAAAUCCACUGCUUGUUGCGUACUAUAAAAGUGUCAUAUUUUGCUUCAUUUUUGUAUAAAAAUGAAAUUUACUGUUUUAAUUUGGCAAAAUGCAGCAUAUGUUGAGUAUGAUUAAGGAGAUACAUGGUAAGGUAAAAACUCAUAAGUGAGAUAAUACUUAAUAGUCAGAAAAAUAUAAAGUGUGGUAUAACUGCUGUCCUAUCAAUUUAAUUAACAGAUUAAAUCUUUAAAUGAUGCAGAUUCACCCAAAUUAUAUUUGAUGAAUGUCAACAUUAGAAAGCUACCUUUCUUAUUGCUGUAUAUUGGAACACCUUCCUGACAUGAACACUAACAAUUGGUAAUGGGUAUUAAAUCUUCUCCCACUUAAGGAAUUUUAGAGAAACCUUAAGUAGUGCAGGAUUAAAUGAACUACACAUUUCCUUUUAUUUCUUCACUCAUGCUACUUCUAUUCUGUGGUUAACUUUUAGCUAAUUAUUUCCAAUUCCAAUACUAUCACAAGUGUCCUGUUCAAGAACGCAGGAUUUAUUUCAGGACAAGAAGUGUGAAUAUUCCUUGAAAUAUCCAUUAAUGUGUGGUUAUUAGAAAUUCAUUUAUAGAAAUUUCCUGGAGUUACUAUUUCUCAUGAGCAAACAAAACACAAUUUUAAGUAUGGGUAUAUUUGUCACUUAAAACAAAACAAAACAAAAAAACUUUUUUUGCUUUCCUUCAAAGUCUGAGUAUUAUUCUAGAAAGUAUGCUCAUAGGCACUGAAAUAUUUAUGAAAAUGUCUAUGAAAAGGAAUUCUUUGCUAUGUGCAGCAUAAAGACUAUAAAGGUAAAAUAUAGUAACAUAUUAAUUAGUUCUAGGAGUUUAUUUUGAAGUUUUCUUGUAUUUCUGAUUCCAUAGUCACACUUUCAAACACAUUAUUUCUGUUUCUAUUCACAUUGGAUUAUAAAAAUAUAGCAAGUUCUUAAAUGGAUUUUUCAACAAAAAGCCCACAGGCUAGAUAACUCUAAUUUUCUGAUAAUAUACACUUGACAUUGUAAUUAGAGAAAUGUGUCCUUUCUGUGAAGUACCGCUGCAAUAUCUGAGUUUCUUUUCCUCCUGGAAUCAACCUGCAUUUUAAGAUAAAAUGAAAGUAUGAAAGCUCCACAAUAACUUUGUAUUGCUUAUUGUUCCAUUGGAUAUUGACUGGAAGAGAUGCACUACCUGGAAGAUAGCCACAUUUUUGAUAGUCACAAAGUUGCAUUUAUUGGAUCUUCAAAAUACUGGGUUCAAACUUUAAAUGUUUUUGUAUAUACCUGCUGUACCAGUCUUUAUUCUUUCCUGAAGCCCCAAAAUGCUGAGGAAUAUAACCAAAGAACUGCAUUUUCCUCCAUUAUCAGGGAAAUGUGUUAUUUAUAUGAAAAGGUAAUAUUCAACUGAAUGUACAGUUAAUGCAGUAGCUAAACUUUGUAAUCCUCUUUGUUAAUCCUCUAUUUUGAAUUCCCUUCCUGACAAAUAACUCAUGUUCUGUGCUUAAUUUUUAUGAAUCUAUUAAAUACAUUUUUUGUUAGCUGAAUAUCUUAUACGUACAUGUCACAAAAAUAUUAAAACAGAGCAAAAUCCAAAAUGACUCAUGUCUAAAAAAUGUUUCACCAUAAUUGAAGCAAUUCACAAAUUACUUUACGAAUAAUUCCAAAUAAAAUUAUUGUGAAUUUUCAUA